GCCUAGUUAGCUUAGUUGGUAGUGCGUCUGCCUUGUAAGCGCUAGGCCGCGGGUUCGAUUCCCACCCGAGGCG
rnacentral:tRNA from 1 species